rnacentral:lncRNA from 1 species
CCCUCAUCAUAUAUUAUGAAGCUUUAACUUUUUUUUAAAUCUUGGGUUGGAGACAAACUGGAAGUUAUCAGUUUUUAAAUAAUUUACAAACAGAUAAUUCAUUUCCAUUUUAGUUAUUUUUAUGUUAACCAUCAUCUAGCAAGUGGUACAGUUUACAUUGUUUGUUGUUUUGUCCAUUCAUUUUAUUAGCUUGUUUAUUUUUAUAUUGACCUCAUACAAUUAUGUCAUGUCAG